CAGUAGCCGCGGGAAUACAGAGGGUGCAAGCGUUAAUCGGAAUUACUGGGCGUAAAGCGCACGCAGGCGGUUGGUUAAGUCAGAUGUGAAAGCCCCGGGCUCAACCUGGGAAUGGCAAUGGAUACUGGCAAGCUAGAGUGUGUCAGAGGAUGGUGGAAUUCCCGGUGUAGCGGUGAAAUGCGUAGAGAUCGGGAGGAACAUCAGUGGCGAAGGCGGCCAUCUGGGACAACACUGACGCUGAGGCACGAAAGCGUGGGGAGCAAACAGGAUUAGAUACCCGCGUAGUCCCUGUCUCUUAUAA
rnacentral:rRNA from 1 species